rnacentral:tRNA from 1 species
GUCACUAUAGUUUAAUAAAAACAUUAGAAUGUGGACCUAAAAAUAGAAGUUAAACCCUUCUUAAUGACC